CCUACGGGUGACAGCAGUGGGGAAUAUUGGUCAAUGGGCGAGAGCCUGAUCCAGCCAAGUCGCGUGAAGGAUGAAGGAUCUAUGGUUUUUAAGCUUCGUUUAUAUGGGAAUAAAGUGAGGGACGUGUUCCUCUUUUUAUUGACCAUAUGAAUAAGCAUCGUCUAACUCAGGGCCAGCAGCCGCGGUAAGACGGAGGAUGCGAGCGUUAUCCGGAUUUAGUGGGUUUAAAGGGUGCGUAGGUGGUUCAUUAAGUCAGCGGUGAAAGUCUGUGGCUCAACCAUAAAAUUGCCGUUGAAACUGGUUGACUUGAGUAUAGUUGAGGUAGGCGGAAUGCGUGGUGUAGCGGUGAAAUGCAUAGAUAUCACGCAGAACUCCGAUUGCGAAGGCAGCUUACUAAACUAUAACUGACGCUGAAGCACGAAAGCGUGGGUAGCGAACAGGAUUAGAUACCCUAGUAGUC
rnacentral:rRNA from 1 species